AACCUCCGCAAUGUACGAAAGUGCGACGGGGGGAUCCCAAGUGUUAUGCUUUUUUGUAUAACUUUUCAUUAGUGUAAAAAGCUUUUAGAAUAAGAGCUGGGCAAGACCGGUGCCAGCCGCCGCGGUAACACCGGCAGCUCGAGUGGUAGCUGUUUUUAUUGGGCCUAAAGCGUUCGUAGCCGGUUUAAUAAGUCUUUGGUGAAAGCUUGUAGCUUAACUAUAAGAAUUGCUGGAGAUACUAUUAGACUUGAAGUCGGGAGAGGUUAGAGGUACUACCGGGGUAGGGGUGAAAUCCUAUAAUCCUGGGAGGACCACCUGUGGCGAAGGCGUCUAACUGGAACGAUCUUGACGGUGAGUAACGAAAGCCAGGGGCGCGAACCGGAUUAGAUACCCGGGUAGUCCUGGCCGUAAACGAUGUGGACUUGGUGUUGGAAUGGCUUUGAGUUGUUCCGGUGCCGAAGGGAAGCUGUUAAGUCCACCGCCUGGGAAGUACGGUCGCAAGAUUGAAACUUAAAGGAAUU
rnacentral:rRNA from 1 species